GAGUUAGUAUAGAAAGCCUUUUAAACCAAUCAGAGGUACACCGGCAUUAUAACGCUACACUCUUAAGUUUGGACUUUUUCGUAGGGCAUGGCAUUUAGUCAACCUGCUUGUCAAACCGAAGCUUGUGAACUUCAAAAAUGUCUUUCUGCUCAUAAUUUUAGAGAGUCUGCUUGCGGCCAGUAUAUAUAUGAACUUAUUGAGUGCUGCAGAAAAAAUCAUGCUUGGGAUUCCUCACCACCUUGCAGUGGUUGGAAAAAG